AGGGGUGUAGCUCAAAUGGUAGAGCGCGCGCUUAGCAUGCGCGAGGUACCGGGAUCGAUACCGGCCCUUCCCA
rnacentral:tRNA from 1 species